rnacentral:rRNA from 1 species
GACGAACGCUGGCGGCGUGCUUAACACAUGCAAGUCGAACGGAAAGGCCCUGCUUUUGUGGGGUGCUCGAGUGGCGAACGGGUGAGUAACACGUGAGUAACCUGCCCUUGACUUUGGGAUAACUUCAGGAAACUGGGGCUAAUACCGGAUAGGAGCUCCUGCUGCAUGGUGGGGGUUGGAAAGUUUCGGCGGUUGGGGAUGGACUCGCGGCUUAUCAGCUUGUUGGUGGGGUAGUGGCUUACCAAGGCUUUGACGGGUAGCCGGCCUGAGAGGGUGACCGGCCACAUUGGGACUGAGAUACGGCCCAGACUCCUACGGGAGGCAGCAGUGGGGAAUAUUGCACAAUGGGCGGAAGCCUGAUGCAGCAACGCCGCGUGCGGGAUGACGGCCUUCGGGUUGUAAACCGCUUUCGCCUGUGACGAAGCGUGAGUGACGGUAAUGGGUAAAGAAGCACCGGCUAACUACGUGCCAGCAGCCGCGGUGAUACGUAGGGUGCGAGCGUUGUCCGGAUUUAUUGGGCGUAAAGGGCUCGUAGGUGGUUGAUCGCGUCGGAAGUGUAAUCUUGGGGCUUAACCCUGAGCGUGCUUUCGAUACGGGUUGACUUGAGGAAGGUAGGGGAGAAUGGAAUUCCUGGUGGAGCGGUGGAAUGCGCAGAUAUCAGGAGGAACACCAGUGGCGAAGGCGGUUCUCUGGGCCUUUCCUGACGCUGAGGAGCGAAAGCGUGGGGAGCGAACAGGCUUAGAUACCCUGGUAGUCCACGCUGUAAACGGUGGGUACUAGGUGUGGGGUCCAUUCCACGGGUUCCGCGCCGUAGCUAACGCUUUAAGUACCCCGCCUGGGGAGUACGGCCGCAAGGCUAAAACUCAAAGGAAUUGACGGGGCCCGCACAAGCGGCGGAGCAUGCGGAUUAAUUCGAUGCAACGCGUAGAACCUUACCUGGGUUUGACAUGGAUCGGGAGUGCUCAGAGAUGGGUGUGCCUCUUUUGGGGUCGGUUCACAGGUGGUGCAUGGCUGUCGUCAGCUCGUGUCGUGAGAUGUUGGGUUAAGUCCCGCAACGAGCGCAACCCUUGUUCACUGUUGCCAGCACGUUAUGGUGGGGACUCAGUGGAGACCGCCGGGGUCAACUCGGAGGAAGGUGGGGAUGACGUCAAGUCAUCAUGCCCCUUAUGUCCAGGGCUUCACGCAUGCUACAAUGGCUGGUACAGAGAGUGGCGAGCCUGUGAGGGUGAGCGAAUCUCGGAAAGCCGGUCUCAGUUCGGAUUGGGGUCUGCAACUCGACCUCAUGAAGUCGGAGUCGCUAGUAAUCGCAGAUCAGCAACGCUGCGGUGAAUACGUUCCCGGGGCUUGUACACACCGCCCGUCAAGUCAUGAAAGUUGGUAACACCCGAAGCCGGUGGCCUAACCGUUGUGGGGGAGCCGUCGAAGGUGGGACUGGUGAUUAGGACUAAGUCGUAACAAGGUAGCCGUACCGGAAGG